UUCUUGCCAAUGGUCAUAAAAAUUUGACCCAGUCUCAGCCUCCUUCUCGUCCUCAGGGUCUUCCCGUGCAUCCCCUCCCACAGCUGGAGCACAUCUCACUGAGCAGUUGGCAAGUCUGGCCCCGGGCUCUGCGGAUGCUGCGCAUGCCUUGCUAGCUGUGCCCAGAAUGCAGAGCUGCAGAGAACUCCCACGACCUUAUCAAAAAUUGCUGAAUUGCUGCGCUAAUGGACAAAACAAUCAUUUGAAAAGGAGAACUUGCCCCAUGGGAAAAAGCAGAGCGGGUAAGAGGCCCGUGCUCUGCAUCGUGAAGCGCUCUUAGACUCCCUGGUAAUUUGCCCACUUCAGAGAACUGGCAGCUUGGGUCUAGACAAGAGAGGACAGAAUAAGAAUGAACAGGCUCUUUCCCCUUUCCUCAAAUUCCUCUGCUCACACAGCUAACGAAGUGCGCAGGAACAGGUGGCCUUCGGAGGGAAUCUUUGGGAUUUAACUUGAAUUCCUUCCUCUAGAAAACUCCUAUGAUCUCCUCAGUCUCUUCAACAUCAGGUUCACUGUAUCUUCCAGGGGAAUAUGACUUAGAUGCUCACAUCCCAGAGAAGAGCCCAGAUGUCAGUUCAUCUGUCCUAGACCCUGGGGAGAGAGAGCUCGGAGAACUGGGCCCUCGAAGAGGCCAGUGGACCAAGAGAAACACCUUCAUUGAGCCUACAGCCCAUGAAGGACCACCCCCAGCUAAGCCCUCAUCCACCCCGAAGUUACGGAGUGCCAAAGGGAUGUGCACACCGAAGGUUCCAGGCAGGUAUUACAACCCACACAGAAGAUGAUGCCAUGCUUGUCUCAGCCCCAGCAGUCACUGAUCUACCCGUGGUGCCCAUGACGGCAGUUACAGCUUCUGUUCAGCUGCUCCCCUGCCCUGAUCACCAGCUGUUCUUAGCCAAUGAUCUUGAUUUAAAUCCCACUCACCAUCACUCUUCCAGCCGCCAAGUCCAUCAGGCUUGACUUGACCAACACCUGUGACCCCCCCACCUCUCCCUUUGCUGGUUGUCCCUGCGAGAUGCUGAUCUCUACCUGUUUGACUAGGCUUCCUGCCAAAGCCUAUGUAGGCUUCCCGCUUCUGAGAUAGGACUGUUUGAUUUCCUGGUGCAGCCAAGUGGAAUGGAGAACUUGACAGCUGCCCUUAGGGCCCUAUGACGAUCACAGUUCUCCAAGCCCAGGACUUCCCGCCAGCCAUCGGGGAUGCCAGCCUUGGCUGAGGAAUCUAUGUUGUUAGUUCAGGACUAUAUCCACCAAUAAUCAUCCAGCAAAUGAUUUAAACAAAUGAUCUGAUGAUGCCUCGAAGAUGUUAGCCAGCCUAGCAAGGCUUAACUGAGUGUAAAGCUGCAGCAGAUAGACUGCUUCCAGCUGGGUAAGCAAGAACCUUGGAAUCAACCUGGAAAAAGAGUACACUGACGUAUCAAAAGCAUUUUAUGCCCCUCAGAUCUAGUCUCUGCUGGGCAACAGUGGAGAUUCUGCACCACGCCCUUGAGGAUCAGCUUUGAAAGACGACAACAGGUCAUCAACUGGACAAACCAAUUACGUCAGAUUAACUGGUUCUCAUCAAAACUUGGGCCAAGACACUGCCCAGAAUCACCCCAAAUCAAGAAGGGAAGUGAAAAUCAGAAGUGCAAACUCCAUCUCAAUAGCUGAUGACUGAACUGUCAUGCUGUAGAGGGUGGAAAGAGCAUUGAAGGCAGUGGAGAGAU